rnacentral:rRNA from 1 species
CCUACGGGAGGCAGCAGUGAGGAAUAUUGGUCAAUGGACGAGAGUCUGAACCAGCCAAGCCGCGUGAAGGAUGACUGCCCUAUGGGUUGUAAACUUCUUUUAUAUGGGAAUAAAAUGUUCCACGUGUGGGAUUUUGUAUGUAUCAUAUGAAUAAGGAUCGGCUAACUCCGUGCCAGCAGCCGCGGUAAUACGGAGGAUCCGAGCGUUAUCCGGAUUUAUUGGGUUUAAAGGGAGCGUAGGUGGAUUGGUAAGUCAGUUGUGAAAGUUUGCGGCUCAACCGUAAAAUUGCAGUUGAAACUGGCAGUCUUGAGUACAGUAGAGGUGGGCGGAAUUCGUGGUGUAGCGGUGAAAUGCUUAGAUAUCACGAAGAACUCCGAUUGCGAAGGCAGCUUACUGGACUGCAACUGACACUGAGGCUCGAAAGUGUGGGUAUCAAACAGGAUUAGAUACCCUUGUAGUC